rnacentral:tRNA from 1 species
GGGGCGGUGGCUCAGUGGUAGAGCAUCUGCCUGGCAUGUGGAAGGUCCCAGGUUCAAGCCCCGAUAACCCCA